rnacentral:rRNA from 1 species
GAUGAACGCUGGCGGCGUGCCUAAUACAUGCAAGUCGAGCGAACGGACGAGAAGCUUGCUUCUCUUAUGUUAGCGGCGGACGGGUGAUUAACACGUGGAUAACCGACCUAUAAGACUGGGAUAACUUCGGGAAACCUGAUCUAAUACCGGAUAAUAUUGUGAACCGCAUGAUUCAAAAGUGAAAAACGGUCUUGCUGUCACUUGUAGAUGUAUCCGCGCUGCAUUAGCUAGUUGGUAAGGUAACGGCUUACCAAGGCAACGAUGCAUAGCCGACCUGAGAGGGUGAUCGGCCACACUGGAACUGAGACACGGUCCAGACUCCUACGGGAGGCAGCAGUAGGGAAUCUUCCGCAAUGGGCGAAAGCCUGACGGAGCAACGCCGCGUGAGUGAUGAAGGUCUUCGGAUCGUAAAACUCUGUUAUUAGGGAAGAACAUAUGUGUAAGUAACUGUGCACAUCUUGACGGUACCAAAUCAGAAAGCAACGGCUAACUACGUG